CCCCCGACCUACAAGAGGCAGGAAUACCUAACGUGUUACUCACCCGUCCGCCACUCGUUGGCGACCAAAAUCUAUCAGGUGCAAGCACCAUCAAUCAAUUGGGCCAACGCGUUCGACUUGCAUGUAUUAGGCACACCGCCGGCGUUCAUCCUGAGCCAUGAUCAAACUCA
rnacentral:rRNA from 1 species